GGAGAUAUAGCAAAGCGGUCGAAUGCGCUUGCUUGGAAAGCAAGUAGAUGUGAUAGUCUCAUGGGUUCAAAUCCCAUUAUCUCCU
rnacentral:tRNA from 1 species